CGUCGUCUUUGAAAACCGGUCCAGAUGCGGCAUGACGUAAUAUCGAGAAACGACGUUUAAAGUUGCGCCAAGUUUACGCGCGCAGCUUUCAUACACAUGUUUUAAUUAGCAAAAGUUUGACCGUUAAAGUACGACUGCUUGUUACAUGAUUGAUAACAGCCUACUACAGAAAGAAUAUUUAGACAUCAGACCCGUAAAAAGAUAGUGGUAUUACGCCUGAGGCAAAAUAUUUCGUUCAAAAUCAGUUGUUUCCCCUUCGCUAUGUUUCCGGUUUCGGAAUUUAUCAAGGAAGCAUGUGAAGUUUACUUUUGUUUAACUACCUUUUGUUCAACGAUGAAGGGAUCUGAGACUUGUAAUUCUGUUUAUUGAUUUGAUAAUAUUCCUUGUUCCUUUGAUGGUUCAUUCCACUAUACAGCUGGUUCAUAUACCCUACAACAGCCAGGAAAUUGGUCUGUUUACUUUAAGAUCCCAAGAAAAUGUAACAUUUUGGAUGUGCUUUGAGGAAUCAGGAAGGCAAGUGUUUCCUCUUGUUUAUGAAACAACUCAGUUGGUUAAGGGCAGACAACUUGUGAGCAUGGUACAUCACUACCUGUAUUGGUAUUCCAUUUUGACAAUGCUGCUAGCUAGAAUAGAAAUAACAUCUUGCUGUGGUACGGCCUGUGGAGACUUUUACUAGGAUAUCACAGAUCGAUUGAAUAUUCAACAAUGAUCACAGACCAUGCAAAGUUUGAAUCUGACUUGCACUUUUGAAUUUAGAAGAAUCUGUGGAGGAGGGUGAAUGCUGAGACCUUUAAUAAUACAUGAUAUUGCUGACACAGUGUGUCAGUCAUCAAAGAAAGGUCAUAACACUGCACAGUUGGUCAACAAUGAUUUAAAUCCUGUCACAUUCUACCAGUGGAGAAAUAUCUUAUCGCAAUAUUUUAAACUUUUGAAGAAGUUAACCAAGUAUUACCACUUUAUCAUGUCUGCAGAAACACCUGGAUUGUUAGUGUUAAAAGUGACAGUCCAGUUAACUUACUAAAAUCUACUUCCCCUUGCCAAACGAAUAUUAUUGACAUGGAAUGACACAAGCCUGACAAUGGUACCUGUAUGAACUCAUAAGUGAAUAGUAUUUGUCUGAAAAGUCAAAGGAUUCUGUUUGUCCCAAACCACUUCAACUGAAACUGAAAUUGUGGUUGGUGAGGAUUUUCCUGAGAACUGAAAAAAGGAAGUGAAUGUAAAAGAUAGAAAUUGUUGUUGAAUUCAAACGUUUUAAUAUACAACACUUUAGCCUGUUUUGCUGUU